UGUAAACUUUCACAUCGAGGUAACUUUUUUUUUACUUUGUUGGUAAAAAGAGUCCGGUCUACAGAGGUUCCACCGAGAUUUGAACUCGGAUCGCUGGAUUCAGAGUCCAGAGUGCUAACCAUUACACCAUGGAACCACGGAGGGGUGGGGCGGCUGCCGCUCUGACAGACUCUGAGCGGCGGCUCCUACAGCGCAGUGUAAUUAUCUCCGGAGAUCUCAACCUCGGAGGCUUCAAACCAACUCAAACUCCUUCCUCAGCUCCGGGUCGGAAGUUCAAAUCCCGAGAGAACCGACAGAGUUCGACCCGGUUAUCUCUGCGCUACAUUAUCACACUCAAACGCUCUCACUCACGGCGCUCCGUCACCACCAGGGGUGGAUUAAAAACACAAACAACAGGAAUUCUGCAGAUGCUGGAAAUUCAAGCAACACACAUCCAAGUUGCUGGUGAACGCAGCAGGCCAGGCAGCAUCUAUAGGAAGAAGUGCAGUCGACGUUUCAGGCCGAGACCCUUCGUCAGGACUAACUGAAGGAAGAAUGCCUGCAAGAAACUGAAUCUGGCAGUGGUUUAUCGUGGCAUAUAUAGAAGUGGUUUGCCAUUGCCUUCUUCUGGGCAGUGACUUUACAAGACGGGUGACUCCAGCCAUUAUCAGGGAUUGUCUGCCUGGGUGUCAGUGGUCACAUAACCAGGACUUGUGACGUGCACCGGCUGCUCGUACGACCAUCCACCACCUGCUCCUGUGGCUGAGUGGGUGCCACACCAUGAGGGACCUGCAGGCCAUCGGAGGGAAGGAACCCCUCACACCUCCUUUGCUAUCAGCAAUGUAGCAUAUCUUGGUUGCAUCACGCAGCAAGUUCUGAGUAAUCUUCCACAUUCCUACACUACACAAUUUCCAGGUAUUCAGUUGGUUCCGGUGAAUUUCACAUCAGGAAGUGGAAACGAUGCCAGAACUCCUGUUUAUGUCAAUGGUGUUGAGGUCAAGAGAUUCAGGUUUCUAGUUCAUCACCAUUAGUCUGUCCUGGUCCAGUCCUGUUGAUACCACCACCAGGAAAGCUCACAAAUGCCUCUACUUUCACAGGAGGCUACAGAAACGUUGCAUGUUCCCCUUAACCCACACCAAUUUUCAAUGCACCUUCGAAAGCAGCCUGUCUGGGUGCGUAACAGCUUGGUACAGAAACUGCUCUGCACUUGACUGCAAGAAACUGCAAAUAGCUGUGGACACAGCUCGGCACAUCACUGAAACCAGCCUCCCCUCCAUGGACUCUGUCUACACUUCCUGCUGCCUCAGGAAAGCAGCCAGCAUAAUCAAAGGCACCACCCAGCCCAGACAUUCUCUCUUCUCCCCUCUCCCUUUGGGCAGAAGAUACAAAAGCCUGAAAGCACAUUCCACCAGGCUGAAGGGCAGCUUCUACCCCACAGUUCGAAGAUCGUUGAACAACUCCCUAGUACCUCAUAAUCAGUUUUGUUAUGAUCAUGCACCUUAUCAUCUGCCUGCACCACACUCCCUCUGUAACUGUAACACUUUAUUCUACAUUGUUACCAUUAUUAUUGGGUGGUGGGGUGGAGAUUCGUCUCUAUAAAAAGGAGGUGAAAGGUGCUCCUUCCCUCCACUCGCCCCCAGGUCAGCCUUGGGCAAAGUGUAGCACCUGCUUAGCACCUCGAUCAGGGUCACGUGAAACCAUGGGAGCAGGUGGUGGAUGGUGUGACAAGAAUACACAUAGAUUAAGAUUUUAGCUGUCCUGUGUGAUCAGCAGUUGGUCUGCCACCUGUCUUCAGGAGAGAGAGAGAUAAGGAAAACAACGGAGCAGCAUUUGGAGAUGUGUAAUGAAGGGACGGGAGAGAGAGUAACAGAAGGAGGGAGCUGUCAAGAGCGGCUCCCCCUUUGAACCCUGAACUGUUUGAAGUGAUGGACAGGCGAUACCCCCACAGGGGGAUAAAAAGGGACAGGUUCGCUAAGGCAGGACACACACGACACCCGAGGUAACAAGACCCUGGAAGCGGAGCGUCUCUCACAAGUCGGUGGGAAGUACCGGGCCAUAAACGCACAGGGUGGAAAGGCGCGAUCGGCGGGAACCUGGUGUGUGUCCACCCUUGCCUGGGUGCCAGGUUCACCGCAGGGAAACGAUUCGUAUCGGGAAACGGAGGGGUCAUGGUCGGUGACCUCAGAUGACAUCACAAAGGACUCGCCGGAAAGCUGACUGCGAAGGUCUGUGUGUGGAAGCCGUUUUGAAUAUUCAUUUGUUUUGCUCUCUCUCUCCUUCCCCCACACUGUCCAUCUCCCACGGCAGCGAUUACUGCGAACUGAACUGAACUUUGCGUCACUUUGAAACUGGUCAUUUGCCCCUGGACAACGAUAGAGCUUGAUUGAUCCUGUUAUCUGA